AUCGAACGCUGGCGGCAGGCCUAACCCAUGCAAGUCGAACGAGUGGCGGACGGGUGAGUAAGGUCUGGGAAACUGUAUGAUGGAGGGGGAAAAAUACUGGAAACGGUAGCUAAUACCGCAUCCCAUCAGAUGUGCCCAGAUGGGAUUAGCUAGUUGGUGUGGUAACGGCUAACCAAGGCGACGAUCCCUAGCUGGUCUGAGAGGAUGACCAGCCAAACUGGAACUGAGACACGGUCCAGACUCCUACGGGAGGCAGCAGUGGGGAAUAGUGCGCAAUGGGCGCAAGCCUGAUGCAGCCAUGCCGCGUGUAUGAAGAAGGCCUUCGGGUUGUAAAGGACUUUCGGCGGGGAGGCGUUACCCACAGAAGAAGCACCGGCUAACUCCGUGCCAGCAGCCGCGGUAAUUC
rnacentral:rRNA from 1 species